AACGGACGCUGGCGGCAUGCCUAACACAUGCAAGUCGAACGAGACCUUCGGGUCUAGUGGCGCACGGGUGCGUAACGCGUGGGAACCUGCCCUUAGGUUCGGAAUAACUCCCCGAAAGGGGUGCUAAUACCGGAUAAUGUCUUCGGACCAAAGAUUUAUCGCCUUUGGAUGGGCCCGCGUUGGAUUAGCUAGUUGGUAGGGUAAAAGCCUACCAAGGCGACGAUCCAUAGCUGGUCUGAGAGGAUGAUCAGCCACACUGGGACUGAGACACGGCCCAGACUCCUACGGGAGGCAGCAGUGGGGAAUAUUGGACAAUGGGCGAAAGCCUGAUCCAGCAAUGCCGCGUGGGUGAUGAAGGCCUUAGGGUUGUAAAGCUCUUUUACCCGGGAUGAUAAUGACAGUACCGGGAGAAUAAGCUCCGGCUAACUCCGUG
rnacentral:rRNA from 1 species